GGCGGCAUGCUUACCUUGCGAGUCUUACGGGCGGGGGUGACCUCGUCAGUGGCGGACGGGUGAGUAACGCGUAGGUAUCUGUCUUUGGGUGGGGGAUAACCGUGGGAAACUACGGCUAAGACCGCAUGAAGCCUGAGGGCCAAAGCCUCUCGUGAGGGGGGUGCCUGGAGAGGANCCUGCNUCCGAUUAGCUGGUUGGUGGGGUAACGGCCUACCAAGGCAAUGAUCGGUAGCUGGUCUGAGAGGAUGGCCUGCCACACUGGGACUGAGACACGGCCCAGACUCCUACUGGAGGCAGCUGUGGGGAAUAUUGGGCAAUGGGCGCAAGCCUGACCCAGCAAUGCCGCGUGGGUGAAUAAGGUCUUCGGAUUGUAAAGCCCUUUCGGCGGGGACGAUGAUGACGGUUCCCGCAGAAUAAGCCCCGGCUAACUCCGUGCCAGCAACCUCGGUAAU
rnacentral:rRNA from 1 species